rnacentral:rRNA from 1 species
UACGUAGGGUGCGAGCGUUAAUCGGAAUUACUGGGCGUAAAGCGUGCGCAGGCGGUUUUGUAAGCCAGAUGUGAAAUCCCCGGGUUCAACCUGGGAAUGGCAUUUGGGACUGCAAGGCUGGAGUGCGGCAGAGGAGACUGGAAUUCCUGGUGUAGCAGUGAAAUGCGUAGAUAUCAGGAGGAAUACCGAUGGCGAAGGCAGGUCUCUGGGCUGACACUGACGCUCAUGCACGAAAGCGUGGGGAGCAAACAGG